rnacentral:rRNA from 1 species
AUUGAACGCUGGCGGAAUGCUUUACACAUGCAAGUCGAACGGCAGCACGGACUUCGGUCUGGUGGCGAGUGGCGAACGGGUGAGUAAUGUAUCGGAACGUGCCCAGUCGUGGGGGAUAACGUAGUGAAAAUUACGCUAAUACCGCAUACGAUCUAUGGAUGAAAGCGGGGGAUCGCAAGACCUCGCGCGAUUGGAGCGGCCGAUAUCAGAUUAGGUAGUUGGUAGGGUAAAGGCCCACCAAGCCAACGAUCUGUAGCUGGUCUGAGAGGACGACCAGCCACACUGGAACUGCGACACGGUCCAGGCUCCUACGGGAGGCAGCAGUGGGGAAUUUUGGACAAUGGGCGAAAGCCUGAUCCAGCCAUUCCGCGUGCAGGAUGAAGGCCCUCGGGUUGUAAACUGCUUUUGUACAGAACGAAAAGGUUUCUACUAAUACUAGGAGCUCAUGACGGUACUGUAAGAAUAAGCACCGGCUAACUACGUGCCAGCCGCCGCAGUAA